ACUCUUCUCUAUCCAUGCUGAGAUUUCGUCACACACUAGACCACAAGGGCUGAUGAGACUUCCAAGAUAAGUGAAGCG
rnacentral:pre_miRNA from 1 species